rnacentral:lncRNA from 1 species
UCAAAUGUCAUCCUCCAGCUUAAAAACAGUUGCUCCUCUACCUGAUUAUCUAUAUCCCAAGAGAAUACAGAACACCACAACAAAGAAAAUAGGGGUGAGAAUAAGCUCAAAAUAUGCUAACGGUGCAAAAGUAACAAAUGGCAGUACAACAAAACAUCAACGCGAACAUGUCAUUCAAAACUCUCACAAAUAAUCAACAUCAUUAUAAAACAAUCACAAUCGUCA